UGGAGCCUCAGGGCGGAACCGGAACCGGAGCCGGGAACUGCACGGCGACAGGUUGAACAGUUAACUUGAACAUAUCAGUGAGUAUGUGUAUAUAGAUUCGGGGGUCUCAAAGAUCUGGCCUUUUCGGUUUGUUCCACUGUUUGAGCCUCUUAGCUUAUGAUGGGGCUAUUUCUGAGAUCUGGGAUUUGAGGGUUGUCACUGUAUGUGUAUAUAGGUAGGUAUCAAGGCUUUCUAAGAAAUGGGUUCUAAUCUGAAUGCUGAAUUAUCAAAGAAAAUUCCAAUUUUUGGUCUUAAGGUUUGGGAAGUAAUUGGAAUUGCAGUUGGAUUGUCUAUUACAGUCAUCCUCUCUGCGCUCUCACGCUGCAUUCAAGUCUAUUGUGCAACCUGUCACCGUGUAGUUCUCGGCUCCACCA